GCAAACUUGGUCAUUUAGAGGAAGUAAAAGUCGUAACAAGGUUUCCGUAGGUGAACCUGCGGAAGGAUCAUUACCAAAACAAAGCGAACUUGGCCUUCGGGUCUCGAGAGCUUCAACCUUUUGUGAACCAAACCUUUAUUUUCGCUUCGGCAGCAAUGGCCUCUGCCAUGUCAGCCUGCCGUUAGCACCAAACCAAAACUUGCAGUAUCUCAUGUCUGAAAUCAAAUUUUUGAAUUAAAUCAAAACUUUCAACAACGGAUCUCUUGGUUCCCGCAUCGAUGAAGAACGCAGC
rnacentral:misc_RNA from 1 species